AGCUUUUUGCUUUCAAACAUUGCAAGGGAAGGAAGGUUAAGCUUGCUCUUUGUGAAGGUGAGUUUUUGGUGUAGGCUAUGGAUAAAAAAUGAUUGCUGAUAUUUGGUACUUUCAUGUUAUGUUAAUUGAUUGGAUCUUAAUUAUUAUACACCAAGAUAACUUGGUAGCGGAAGUAAUAAAGUACUAUUGAAGUAAAUGAAUAUUGUGCUCGUCUUUUUCAAUAGUUUGCAUUGUACCUUGUUUGGAGUAGUGAGAGCUAAAGAAUCAUGACUUUGUAUGUGCUGAUUGUUAGUUGAUAUUGAUAUUUGUGUUUAGAUUUUGUUCACAAAUAGAAAUCAAAGUUCUGUUCACAAUGAAACAAAUGUUUUCAUAUGAUGUGUAGGUCUACGAUUUGCUUUCACUUUGAAUCAGGGCAGAGGUUUUGCUGGUUACAGUUAUUGUCAUGACUUAAUGUUCAUGCAUUAUUUUCAGUGGAUUUUGUGGUUUAAUGAUAGAAGUGAUGAGCAUAGUAUUUCCGGUUUUUUCACAACUAAAUUAACAGUUGAGUUGUUUCAAUUAUGCUACGGCGUUCAAAUUUUAUUUUAAACAUCGUGGUAGGAUAGUUAAUCACAGGUUUUUGCACAACCUUUGCUCAAUAAUCUGCAUCACUUGGUUAGGUAGAGUACUCUUGACGAACUUUUGAAGAUUUGGAUUUCUUUAAAACAUAAAUGUCUUCGAUCAGUUUUUUUCCUGUCAACAGUUUACAUCUCUAUUGGAAUAAUCCCAUAACUGUAUGCAUUUCCCAGUGUGUGUGUGUGUGUUUGAUGCAUGGAUCGUAUUGGUGGAGUAGAAAGUCAAUGAUUAAUUUAGCUUUGGAUCUUGUGAUGGUUUCAUAACCCGUGGCAUGUCAUAUCAUAUUGAAAACUGUUGCAGCCUGUUGGGUUGAGUCCUUUAUUCUACAAUGUAACUAGCAUAGAGUUGCUGGUCUACUUCUUGGACUGUUGAAUAGCCUUAGGCCUGAGAAACUACCCAUUUUACUGUCCUUUCAUUGUUUUCAUGUUUGCCUUGCUUGUAUCUAGUUGUUGGCAA